CUAGUACUGGGGAUCAAAGCCAGAACAGUACACUUGCUAGGUUAACAUUCAUGCACUGGAUAUAUUCAAUCUCCUUCCUGUCCCCAGUCCUCCAUUUCUCCCUCCCUCUCUCCCUCUCCUUCCCUCCCUCCAUCCCUCCCUCCAUCCACCCAUCCACCUUUCCCUUCUCUCUUCAUCUCUUCCCUCUUCUCUCCCUUUCUGUGACAUAGCCCAGGCUGGCCUCUAACUUACCAUCUUCCUGGUCAGCUUCCCUAGUGCUAUGACUACUUGUAUAUACCUCCACACCUGGCUGUCUGCCCCUCUUAGUUCAUCUUCAUACACCACAAGUUUUUAUGUUAUAUAAAACAAAACAAACAGAAGUUUACCUUAUUACAAAGCCUUUCUCUUGUUGCAUGAUUGCUUGUGCCAGAUUGAAAGAACUCAAGUGAGAGCAUAUGUUUACGGUCCCGGGGGUAGCAGGUUGAAGAGAGAAGCAGGGCUAUGACAUGGUUUUCCUACUAGAUGUCUAUUGCAGAUGCUGCUUUCAUGACAAAAUGAAUGCUUUAAGGAGCACAGAUUUGGAUAAUAAAGUUUAUUCUAAUUUGUCAAGGAAAGAUGGAUUGCAGAUGACAAAGUUAUCAAAUUAAGAAUGAGAAUACAACACCAGUCAGAAUGGCUAAAAUCAAAAACUCCGGUGACAGCAGAUGCUGGCAAGGAUGUGGAGAAAGUGGAACACCCCUCCAUUUCUAAUGGGAUUUCAAGCUGGUACAACCACUCUACAAAUCAGUUUGGUGGUUCCUCAGAAAAAUAGGUGAGGACCCAGCUAUACCGCUCCUGGGCAUAUACCCAAAAGAUGCUCCAAUAUCUAAUAAGGACACCUGCUCUACUAUGUUCAUAGCAGCCUUUUUUAUAAUAGCCAGGAGCUGGAAAAAAACCCAGAUGUCCCUCAACAGAGGAAUAGAUACAGAAAAUGUGGCACAUUUACACAAUGGAGUACUACUCACCUAUUAAAAACAAUAAAUUUAUGAAAUUUUUUAGGCAAAUGGAUGUAUCUGGAGGAUAUCAUCCUGAGUGAGGUAACCCAAUCACAAAUGAACACACAUGGUAUGCACUCAGUGAUAAGUGGAUAUUAGCCCAAGAGCUCCAAAUAACCAGGAUACAAUUCACAGACUACAUGAAGCUCAAGAAGAAGGAAAACCAAAGUAUAAGUGGUUUUGUCCUUCUUAGAAGCAAAACAAAAUUCUCACAGGAGCAAAUAUGGAGAUAAAGUGCAGAGCAGAGACUGAAGAAAAGACCAUCCAGACACUGCCUCACCCGGGGAUCCAUCCCAAACACUGACACUAUUGUGUUAAAAGUGCAUGCUGACAGGAGCCUGAUAUAACUGUCUCCUGAGAGGCUGUGCCAGAGCCCUACAAAUAUAGAGGUGGAUGCUGCAGCCAACCAUUGGACUGAGCACAGAGUCCCCAGUAGAGGAGUUAGAGAAGGGACUGAAGGAGCUGAAGGGGUUUGCAACCCCAUAAGAAGAACAACAAUAUCAACCAACCAGGCCCCCCAGAGCUCCCAGGGACUAAGCCAUUAACAAAAGAGUACACAUGGCUCAAGCUGCAUAUGUAGCAGAUGAUGGUCUUGUCAUGCAUCAAUGAGAGGAGAGGCCCUUGGUCCUAUGAAGGCUCAAUGGAUGCCCCAGUGUAGGGGAAUUGAGGGCAGGGAGGCGGGAGUGGAUGGGUGAGUGGAAGAACACCCUCAUAGAGGCAGGGGGAGGGAGGAUGGGAUAGGGGGUUUCCAGGAUUGGGGGGAAACUGGGAAAGGAGAUAACAUUUGAAAUGUAAAUAAAGAAAAUAUCCAAUUAAAAAAAGAAUGAGAAUACAUUCACAAAGAAAAGGAAACGAAAAUAACAAUUCAGAAACUGCAGGUUAUCAUUCUGAAAAUGUGAACAAAUAUUACUUACUGGGAAGUGAGAGAGAUAAACCCAAGGGCUGGCAGAGGUCAAGGAACAAAGAAAACAGCAAAACAUAUCCACAUGAGAGACACUCACAGAUCUUAGAAGCAAUGAACUUAAAGAUAAAGGAAACUACCAAAUUAAAAAUAGAAUCAAAUGCAAUUUAGCAGUUUUCACAAUGCUAAACAUAGAGUUACAUGUGACCCAAAAUUCUAACCAGAUAUAUAUACUCAAGGCAAUUUAAAACACAAGUGUAUAGAGACUAGCAUAUGAACGUUCACAACAGUGUUAUUCAUAAUAGUCAAAAGCUCUCCAUCAGGUGAUGAACAAAUCUUUUAAAAUAUGUUAUAUACAUGCAAUAUUUUUCAGCAAUGAAAGUAUUAAAGACUAAUAUUACCAACUACCAUGUAGACAACAUUAUGCUAAUGAAAUGAAGCUAAUACAAAAGUCCAUAUGUUCCAUUCAUAUGAAAAUUCUACCUUGGCAACUCAAGGUAUUGAUGAUAAGUGACAGUUGGACACUCGGCCCUAAACAGGACUUUAUACCACCCUGUGUGAAGAUUGAAAAACAUGGUAGAGUAGGGAACAUAGAGAUAUAAGAACAGGAAAGUAGGGAGGAGGGCUUCCAAGAGCCAUCCUCUAGGCAUCAUACAGCCAUUGGAGUCAUAGACUCACAGCAGCAAUGGUUGCCUACACUGAGCCUGCCCAAGGCCAGCCCUGUUGGUGGGCAGGUAUGAAUGGGCAAAAACUUACACUCAAGCUCUCCCUGCUGAACUACAGAUGCUGAAAAAUUCUGGGGGCAGACAGUAUUCAUUUUUUUUUCAGCUG
rnacentral:lncRNA from 1 species